GCAAUCCUACCACCGCCACCUACCCAAUAGUCCCCACUACACCCUUCACCCUCUCCUUAUAUCCCCCACCUUCUCACCCUCCUCGUCACGCACUCCUCCCUUCCCUAGCUCUGCGACACCCUCUACUCCCUCUCGCCUCAUCCUGCGCGUUUCGUCCUUCUCGGUUCCCCUCUCUCGCACUCACACUUCUCUAAUUUCUCUUUCUUUCUCGCACUUUAUCUCUCUCGCACCGAUUCUCCCACUCUUUCCUUAGCCCGCAAGGAACGAAUCGCCUGACUUCUUUCUCUCUCCUACUAACCAUCGUCUUCUCUUUCUAUCUUCUACGAAACCUACACAAACGCAAUCUCUCUCAAUUCGUCUUCCUCUUUCUUGCUCCUCACCCUCGAUCACCCUCCAAAAAGGGCACUUAUUUUCGCCCCUUUGUUCUCACGGUUGUGACCAACUUCUCCUUCUCUCUACCUUUCCUUAAACCUACCAUCUCCCCUUGCCUAUACGCCCUCGUUCCUCGGGCUUCUUUCUCGAACACACCCUCUCCCUCUCUACCUCCUAGCUACUUCUUACGUCGUGUUACUGCGCACUCGUUCUGGCAAAGUCGCCACGAGCUCGUGCAACUACUCGCAAAGUUGUUACCCAUUGACGACAUCAUGUGCGGUUCCAGCGGUUGCGACAGUCGCUUAUCGCUUGUCGUAUUAUUUUGAUAAAGGAAAAUGCGGGUUAAAGGGGCACCGAGUUUCUGUUCGUUUUUAAAAUAGAGCCACACGGAUUAUGUUACGGACUUGCAACGUGAUAUCUCAUUCAUCUUUCUUCUGUUAUUUUUUCCUUCCGUUUGUUGUUAAUGUGAUUUUAAAUGUUAAAGAAAAAAGAGAUUAAAUCUAUACGGGAUGAUCGAGUAGAAAAAUACCAGGGGUUGGGCAUAGGGGGCUUGGAAAGAAACUCACGAAUGUAAUAAGACGGCUGUGGAGGAGAUGCGUUGCGAGUUACACACGCAACCACGAUUUGCGUCUGCGCACUUUUUUCUGUACAGACUCGCCAAGUAGUAGUGAAUGAUAGAAAGAGACAAACGCUCUCCGCCACGAGGCUGUUUCUCAACUUCUGAGCUGCAAAUGUACAAGUACCAACCACAUUUGCGUAUCCUGGUAGUAGUUUGUCGCUGGUUCAGCUUCCGCUUCGUACCUCGAGGCUUGUUGCGUAUCCGUGGACAAGAAUCCGAGUGUCGUCACGUUGCUAUGGAAAUAAAUGCACCUUCGUCUGAUUUCCUCGUUGAAUCAAUGUGUGUUGGUUGCGUGUCGUCACCGGAAUCGUUGCGCUACGCUGACGGCACCUUGACACGUUUACCCCGACACGCGUAUUCUACACCAUUACAAUAGUGUCGAAACGACUUCAUUAUCGGAAGCUUUUAUUAUACGAUGUUCACUAUCUUUAUCGAUACGAUCGAUUUAAAACGACGAAAGAUCCAAGUCACUGAUUGUUUCCCGCGCUUUUACUUUGUACUCCCUUAAACGUAAUGUCGAGUGCAGAAAGUGAAGUAAAAUAUGAACGAUGAAAAUUCGGUUGGUACUUUAAACGAAAAAUACAUGUACGUAUCGUAUAUCACGAGGUAACGCGUUUCCAACACACGAGGGUUGGCUGGAAGCGAUACGCGGGGCGCUGCCGCGGAAGGAUCCCCACGGAUCUUUUCGGUCGACUGAUAAAAAGGCUUGAAGCUGCCUUGUCGCGAUGGACGAGGCGUAUACGGACAAAAAAAGUCGCUGGAAGGGGAAGCUCCGGAGAGUCUCAGAGUCGGGCAGGGGAGAACAGAGCACGCGGGAACGGAGGGAUCGUCUGUCGGUGGCGGAGCUGAGGUGGGGGCGGUAGGUACGGCGGGGACGGUACCAGCGGUGACGGGGUAAAGAGGUAGAGACAUACACGUAGACAACGUGGGUCGGGGUAAAGGGGAGCUAUCACCGCCGUCACCGCCGCCACCACCACCAUCACCACCACCGCCGACACUGCCGCCGCCGCCGCCGCCACCGCCGCUGCCGCUGUCGUCGUCGUUCGUCGUCGACGCCGCGCCACGAUGAUUUGACUCUACUCGCUACCGCCGCUGACGCCGCCACACGAUGAUUCGAUUCCUCUGCUAGUUGCCGCCACCGCUACCGCCACUGUAACCACCACCGUAGGCCACUCCACCGCUGUUGCUGCUGUUACUUCCUCUCUGCUGUAUUCCUCUAGUGUCCUUGGUUUCGCUCUAGCAAGACCAGCGUGCUAAUUCUACUACGUCGACGCGGUUUUAGAGAAACUUGGUUGGCUCUCCUACUGCUAGCGCGCCCACGGCCAGGGCUGUAUCGCUUGGGGCUGCGUAUUAGUCCAUUCUAAUCUCAUGGCUUCCCAGCUAUGCUUCAUCAUACUGUAUUCCUUUACAAUACAUAUAUACAUAUAAGUAUAUAUGUACAAGUAUAUAUGUACCAAAGCAAAUUUCUUCCUUGAUAUGUGCGAUCGAUUUUGGUUAUCUUUUGAAACAAAUACCAACAUACAAAUAAUAUCUAUCA